rnacentral:lncRNA from 1 species
CUUUGGCUCAGCAGUUUCUGAAUAUUCCUAAGUUUGAACUCUGCCUCCACACUGCCCGGGACAGGAAGCCAGGUGGAAUUGAGACACAGCCCUUGCAGUUUUAUCAAAUGGCACUCGGCAGCAUCUCCACUGCAACUCCAGGAUGCACUGGACCACACAUCCAGGAAUGUCCCCUACGGACAUCUGGGAGCCCAGUCCCAAGGCCCCUCCAGGAGCAGACACCCUUCUAUGCAACUUGGGGCAACUCAGCCUUGCUCUCAGGAGACAACUGAGUGGCCAGUCUCUUCCCUGACACAGAGGUUACACAGGAAUCCCCUCCGUGGACAAGAGCUGGCCAGGUUGUAUGGCAAUGCCCAGUUCUCAUUUUCUGAGUCUUUCCUCAUGAUAGUUGUUCCCACAGGCCUCAGGAGCUAUUCCUCAAGCCAUCUUUGCCCUUCAAAGCUUAAACAAUUCCUGACCCUAAUUUCCAAAUCUUUUCUGCUUAAUCUAUGCACCAAAUAUCAUGCUCAGCCAUCUGUGUAGUCCCCAUGUGUAUUCGUCUAUUCUCAAGCUGCUAAUAAAGACAUACCCAAGACUGGGUACUUUAUAAAGGAAAGAGGUUUAACUGACUCACAGUUCAGCAUGGCUGGAGAGGCCGCAGGAAAUUUACAAUCAUGACAGAAGAGGAAGCAAACAUGUCCUUCUUCACAUGGCGACAGCAAGGAGAAGUGCCAAGCAAAAGGGGAAAAAGGCCAUCAGAUCUUGUGACAACCCACUCACUGUCAUGAGAACAGCAGCAUGGGGGUAACUGCCCCCAUGAUUCAAUUACCUUGCACCAGAUCCCUCCCACAACAUUUGGGGAUUACAGGAACUAGAAUUCAAGAUGAGAUUUGGGUGAGGACACAACCAUCCCAUAUCACCAUGUGACUACAGGUGCUGCUGGAAAUCUCCAUUAAAGGAUCUCUGGAAAUGGAUGAACUCUGUUGUAUUCUUCACAAUCACAGCCACACAGCUUGACUGACACUGAAGGUCAAAAGAGGCCUAUUCAUUAUCCCAUGAAACAGCUGUCUUUAAUGAUGCCAGUGGGAACUGUGGUACAGUGAGGAAGGCUGAAGCCUGGCUGAGUUCGUCAAUUCCUCAGUGCUGGCGUUUGAAUUGAUACCCCACCAAUUCUGAACUCUCUGAAUCUGUUUCCUCCUUCUUAAAGUGUUCAAAGUAACUUUGCAGUAUUAUGGCUCAAAACAAAAGAGAAUAUCUAUGGCUUUGCAGUUCAAUACUUUGCAGUAUUAUGCCUCAAAACAAAAGAGAGAAUAUCUGUUCAAAGCUACCACUUCUGGUACCACAUUCUGAUUACCUAUGGCUGCAUCUCAGGUGAUCCAAAGCUUAAUGGAUUCAACAGCAACCAUUUUAUCAUAUCUCACAGAUUCUGUAAGUCAGGAAUUUAGGCAGGGCUCGGUCAGGGGACUCCUCUGUGCCUCAUGUGCCCAUAGAUAUUGCUCAGUGGAACUCAGCUGGAGGUGGACUGGUCUGGAGGGUGCGAGACAGCAUCACUCAUGUGUUGUCCAGGCAGUUCUUGCUUGCAGUGGCUGCCACAAGCACUGAAUUAACUCAAAUGGAGCCACUGCUUCUGAGGAAAUUCAAGAUUCGAUUCCCGUGAGCUUCAGCUCACGACAUUUCUGUUGACUGAUCAAUAUGCAACUUUGGUUUUUGUGUGUUUUUGUUUAAAGAUACCUUAUUGAAUAUCUAUUUCUUAAAAAAUAAUUAGUUAUAUGAAGUAUUUUCUUUAUAAGGAAACACUAGCAUGGAAGAGUUUAUCAUUUUCCUGAACCUGGGUAAUGUGUCCAUGAAUUUCUUUGGCUCUCAGCCUCACAAAAAAAUGCUGUCACUACUCUUUUUUCUAUAUGUCAUAAUCUCAAAAAUCUACAGAUUUAGCCAUUUCCCCAUCUUUUUCAUAGCUCCAUCACACACCAAAGAUUUAGUUUAAGCACUUUCUAGGAUGGCCUCCCUUACAGAUUGGCAAAUUUCCUCUUCUCUUUUCCCAAUGUACCAUGUUGUUGAUUCUAACCUUGAACUCAGAGCCAACAGCAUUAAAACUCCUGCCUGAACAAAGCAUACUGGACACACAUAUUUCCUCUGCAAGGCACAUCAAAGCCUUUUUGCACUUAGGAACACUGGUCUGCACUUAAGCCCUAUGUUUGGGGGUCACUUUAAACAGUGAAAUCAACAGCAAAAAGCACAAAACACAUGGCGCUAGGUAGACGGUGAAAAGGACCGUUGAUUGCAGUAUUGAGAGCUAUAACAAGAAGGCAAAGUAUCUUCUUGUGUGACCUCAGCUGGGAACAUGCACAUUGAGAGACUCAAACCUUUUGCUGCCCCAUACACAUCCAUGAAUAACUACAACAGUGCUGCAAGUAUUGAUUUGGGGGUUUUGAAUAAAUUUUAAUGAGCAGAUAAAUUUGCAAAUACAGAAUCUGCAAAUAAUGAGGGUCACUGGUAUUUGGUGCUUUUUCGAGAAUGGGUGGAAGACGGCACUCAGCUGGGACUGUCCAAUGGGGAGAGGUCCAUGUGUGGCCCUCCAACAUGUCACAGGGCACUUGGACUUCUUAUUGUUUUUCUUGAUUUUCCUCAUACAAAACUCUGUGUGUGUGUGUGUGUCUGUCUUUCUUGAAGCAAAGUCUGUAACUAAAUAAACUAUGUUACUUUGUGUUCAUUAUUCAAA